rnacentral:rRNA from 1 species
CCUGCCAGUAGCAUAUGCUUGUCUCAAAGAUUAAGCCAUGCAUGUCUAAGUACGCACGGCCGGUACAGUGAAACUGCGAAUGGCUCAUUAAAUCAGUUAUGGUUCCUUUGGUCGCUCGCUCCUCUCCUACUUGGAUAACUGUGGUAAUUCUAGAGCUAAUACAUGCCGACGGGCGCUGACCCCCCUUCCCGUGGGGGGGACGCGUGCAUUUAUCAGAUCAAAACCAACCCGGUCAGCCCCCUCCCGGCUCCGGCCGUGGGUCGGGCGCCGGCGGCUUUGGUGACUCUAGAUAACCUCGGGCCGAUCGCACGCCCUCCGUGGCGGCGACGACCCAUUCGAACGUCUGCCCUAUCAACUUUCGAUGGUAGUCGCCGUGCCUACCAUGGUGACCACGGGUGACGGGGAAUCAGGGUUCGAUUCCGGAGAGGGAGCCUGAGAAACGGCUACCACAUCCAAGGAAGGCAGCAGGCGCGCAAAUUACCCACUUUCGGCCCGGAGAGGUAGUGACGAUAAAUAACGAUACGGGACUCAUCCGAGGCCCCGUAAUCGGAAUGAGAACAGUGCAAAAAAUUUAGCGAGUACCCACUGGAGGGCAAGUCAGGUGCCAGCAGCCGCGGUAACUCCCGCUCCAGUAGCGUAUAUUAAAGUUGUUGCGGUUAAAAAGCUCGUAGUCCGGGGUGUGACGCCUCGGGUUGGUUCACGACAACGCUCGUGUAAAAUUUUUUAAACUGGCCCUUCGGGGCGGCCAUCCGGCCGGUAGGCUCCGCCUAGUCCCCUCCGCGGGUCGCGGCGCGCCGACGUGUUCGGUCGCGCGGGCCCCGAAGGUAGGACGAGGGAGCCUGGUGUCCCCGUGGCGGGUGCUCUUGACCGAGUGUCCGGGCGGGCCGGCACGUUUACUUUGAACAAAUUAGAGUGCUUAAAGCAGGCUUGAAACGCCGUGAAUAGUAGUGCAUGGAAUAGUGGAAGAAGACCCCGGUUCCAUUUUGUUGGCUUGCGGAAUGUCCUGGGUAAUGACAAAGAGGGACGGAUGGAGGGGUCCGUAUUGUUACGUGAGAGGUGAAAUUCUCGGACCCCAACGGGACGAGCGGAUGCGAAGGCAUUCACCGAGAACACCUCCCUUGAUCAAGAACGAAAGUUAGAGGUCCGAAGGCGAUCAGAUACCGCCCUAGUUCUAACCGUAAACGAUGCCGACCAGCAAUCGGUCGUAGUUCCUCCGAUGACUCGACCGGCGGCUCCCGGGAAACCAGAGUGUUUGGGUUCCGGGGGAAGUAUGGUUGCAAAGCUGAAACUUAAAGGAAUUGACGGAAGGGCACAACCAGUCGAGGAGCUUGCGGCUUAAUUUGACUCAACACGGGGAAACUUACCAGACCAGGACACUUGUAGGAUUGACAGAUUGAUAGCUCUUUCUCGAUUCCGUGGGUGGUGGUGCAUGGCCGUUCUUAGUUGGUGGAGCGAUUUGUCUGGUUAAUUCCGAUAACGAACGAGACUCUGGCAUGCUAACUAGUUACGCGACCCCCGAGCGGUCGGCGUCCCCCAACUUCUUAGAGGGACAAGUGGCGUUCAGCCACCCGAGAUUGAGCAAUAACAGGUCUGUGAUGCCCUUAGAUGUCCGGGGCUGCACGCGCGCUACACUGACUGGCUCAGCGUGUGCCUACCCUACGCCGGCAGGCGCGGGUAACCCGUUGAACCCCAUUCGUGAUGGGGAUCGGGGAUUGCAAUUAUUCCCCAUGAACGAGGAAUUCCCAGUAAGUGCGGGUCAUAAGCUUGCGUUGAUUAAGUCCCUGCCCUUUGUACACACCGCCCGUCGCUACUACCGAUUGGAUGGUUUAGUGAGGCCCUCGGAUCGGCCCCGCC